rnacentral:rRNA from 1 species
GAUGUAGCUGCCGCCUGUUCGCCCAAUGGAUCCAGACUUUGAUUCUGGCUCAGGACGAACGCUGGCGGCGUGCCUAAUACAUGGCAAGUAGAACGCUGAAGAGAGGAGCCUGCUCUUCUUGGAUUGAGUUGCGAACGGGUGAGUAACGCGGUAGGUAACCUGCCUUGUAGGCGGGGGAUAACUAUUGGAAACGAUAGCUAAUACCCGCAUAACAAUGGAUGACACAUGUCAUUUAUUUGAAAGGGGCAAUUGCUCCACUACAAGAUGGACCUGCGUUGUAUUAGCUAGUAGGUGAGGUAACGGCUCACCUAGGCCGACGAUACAUAGCCGACCUGAGAGGGUGAUCGGCCACACUGGGACUGAGACACGGCCCAGACUCCUACGGGAGGCAGCAGUAGGGAAUCUUCGGCAAUGGGGGCAACCCUGACCGAGCAACGCCGCGUGAGUGAAGAAGGUUUUCGGAUCGUAAAGCUCUGUUGUAAGUCAAGAACGAGUGUGAGAGUGGAAAGUUCACACUGUGACGGUAGCUUACCAGAAAGGGACGGCUAACUACGUGCCAGCAGCCGCGGUAAUACGUAGGUCCCGAGCGUUGUCCGGAUUUAUUGGGCGUAAAGCGAGCGCAGGCGGUUUGAUAAGUCUGAAGUUAAAGGCUGUGGCUCAACCAUAGUUCGCUUUGGAAACUGUCAAACUUGAGUGCAGAAAGGGGAGAGUGGAAUUCCAUGUGUAGCCGGUGAAAUGCGUAGAUAUAUGGAGGAACACCGGUGGCGAAAGCGGCUCUUCUAGGUCUGUAACUGACGCUGAGGCUCGAAAGCGUGGGGAGCGAACAGGAUUAGAUACCCUGGUAAGUCCACGCCGUAAACGAAUGAGUGCUUAGGUGUUUGGAUCCUUUCCGGAGAUUCAAGUGCCGCAGCUAACGCAUUUAAGCCAUCUUCCGCCUGGGGGAGAUC